CAGUCCGCGGCGCCCUCCGCAGCCUUUUGGGAUAUGUAGUCUACGGUCGGUUUUCCGGCGCCUAAGACCGCCCAUCCGUCUGGUCACACCCCUGCGCGCUGGGGCUCCUGGGAGCUUGGCCCGCACGCCGGGCUGCAGCUGAGAGAAAAUGGAACCUACUGGAUCUGCACGGAGGACCCGGGAGAGAGGAGAGACGUCUGUCCGCUAAGGGGGUUUCUCACCCGUACGCAUUUUGAGGAAAUUGCCAUUUUCACCUGUCCCACUAGCCCGACCGAUUUCUUCACUUGGGUAAACCGAAGAACGAGUUGGGUGUAUGGAUCUAGCUCCGCUGUUCAAAGGGUCAAUCUAGGCAUAAGGAAGGUCACUCCCAUGGUGGGUUGUGUUACUACUCUGCCUGCUAGGUUCUCUUUAGAAAAAUGUUUAUGUCUCAGGCGUGGCUUGGAUGGUGCAGCUCGUUCUCACGGAGUUGUGUGGCGUUUACGUUGUAGAGGCAAUGCUGACCGCCCAUGGAGGAAGGAGAGGAUGAAAGCCUUAACCCGGUAGGACCGGGAAGGAAGGGGCCAUCUUGGGUGGGGUGGUGCCAAGGGCAGCCUAACCCUCUAGCAGGGGUGGGGCCAAGGGCAGCCUAACCCUCUAGCAAUGGCAGUGCUAAGAACCGCAAGUACAUUAGCAGAGAUGGCUGAUACAUUUCAUCCCUAAGGCUUUGAAUUUGCAAUGUUUACAGGUUGGAGACCACCAAGCUUUACCUUGAACUGCCUUCUGUGCCUAGGGUCUGGCACAGAGCAGUCGUCCAAUAGAUGUUUGCUAUCUAUAGAAUAAACCUUUAAAGUUCAAGCUUGGGCGUAACUGUUCACAAACAUUUUUCAAGGCAACACUUUUGUACCUCAGGCAAGGCUCGUCUCUGGGGCUCUCACUCUAAGUGUUGCACUUACAUAAAUUUGGUUUCAAGAAACAUUUUAAAAAUUAAAGUAUAAUUAGUUCAAGCUUUUUGUGUGACAUUUAUACUUUUUUUCCCCCGAUGAGUUAAUUUAGCCUCUUCAGAAGUGGGUCAUUUGAAACUGUAAGGAAAUUCUCAGUUUUGUAAGUGAUUUCAAAUUUUUAUGUAGAUCAAGACAGCAAGUAAGUGUUAAAAUUUGUACUUAAAAAUUUUAUACUAUAGGGGCGCCUGGGUGGCUCAGUCGGUUAAACGACUGACUUCUCAAGUCACCAUCUCACGCUUGUUGAGUUGGAGCUCUGCAUGGGGCUGUCUGCUGUGAUCACUGAGCGCACUGAGCACUGAGCACUGUCUGCUGUGAUCACUCUAUCCCUGCCCCUCCCUCUCUGGGUUCCAUGCUCUCUCAAAAUCAAACAUUAAAAAAUUUAUACUACAAUGACAAUCAAAUGCAACAUACAACAUUAACUGAAUGCUAAACAAAAAACAACAAACAAAAACAAAAAAAGGAAAGAAGAAAACAGAAGGUACAUUUUGGGGACAAUUGUGGAAAUUUUAGUAUGUAUUCUAUUUGAGAUAUUAUUGAAUUAAUAACUGUACAGGUUUUCUUGUUGCCGCUGUACCGAGUAACUACAAACUGUGACUUAACACAAACGUUUUCUCUUGUACUUCUGGAGGCCAGCAGUCCAAAAUCAGGGUGUUGGCAGGGCUGCCUUUUUUCUAGAGGCUGUUAGGGGAGAAUGUUUCCUUGCCUCUUCCAGGUUCUAGAAGUUGCUUGUAUUGCUUGGCUUGUGACCCCUUCACUGCAUCACUCCAACUCUCUUGCUUCUGUCCUGUCAUCUCCUAGUUCUAACUCUGGAUCCUCCUGCCUCCUUCUUAUAAGGACUCUUGUGAUUACCUUAGGCCCACCUGGCUAAUCCAGAAUAACCUCCUCAGAAUAACCUCCCAACAUAUUCACAGGAAUUAGGAUGUGGACAUAUUUGGGGGCCAUUACUAAGACCAACAAAAUAAUAAUUAUGUAGGAGACUGUCCUUAUUCGUAGUAGAAACAUCAUGUGAAGUAUUUAAUGGUGAAAUGUCAUGAUAUCUGAAACUUUAUUGUUUUUUGAAACUUUAUUUUUUGGGGGGCACCUGGCUGGCUCAGUUGGUUGGGGAUCCUGACUUGAUUUUGGCUCAGGUCAUGAUCUCACAGUUCUGAGUUCCAGCCCCUCAUU